AUUGAACGCUAGCGGGAUGCCUUACACAUGCAAGUCGAACGGCAGCGCGGACUUCGGUCUGGCGGCGAGUGGCGAACGGGUGAGUAAUGUAUCGGAACGUGCCCAGUAGCGGGGGAUAACUACUCGAAAGAGUAGCUAAUACCGCAUACGCCCUACGGGGGAAAGGGGGGGAUCGCAAGACCUCUCACUAUUGGAGCGGCCGAUAUCGGAUUAGCUAGUUGGUGAGGUAAAGGCUCACCUAGGCGACGAUCAGUAGCGGGUCUGAGAGGAUGAUCCGCCACACUGGGACUGAGACACGGCCCAGACUCCUACGGGAGGCAGCAGUGGGGAAUAUUGGACAAUGGGGGCAACCCUGAUCCAGCAAUGCCGCGUGUGUGAAGAAGGCCUGAGGGUUGUAAAGCACUUUCAGUGGGGAGGAGGAUUGAUUUGUUAAGAGCUGAUUAAUUGGACGCUACCCACAGAAGAAGCACCGGCUAACUCUGUGCCAGCAGCCGCCGUAA
rnacentral:rRNA from 1 species